UAGGGAAUCUUCCACAAUGGACGCAAGUCUGAUGGAGCAACGCCGCGUGAGUGAAGAAGGCUUUCGGGUCGUAAAACUCUGUAUUGAAGAAGAACGUGCGUGACAGUAACUGGUCAUGCAGUGACGGUAUUCAAUCAGAAAGUCACGGCUAACUCGUGCCAGCAGCCGCGGUAAUACGUAGGUGGCAAGCGUUGUCCGGAUUUAUUGGGCGUAAAGCGAGUGCAGGCGGUCUUUUAAGUCUGAUGUGAAAGCCUUCGGCUUAACCGAAGAAGGGCAUCGGAAACUGGGAGACUUGAGUGCAGAAGAGGAGAGUGGAAC
rnacentral:rRNA from 1 species